AGAGUUUGAUCAUGGCUCAGAAUGAACGCUGGCGGCGUGCCUAACACAUGCAAGUCGAGCGAGAAAGUCUCUUCGGAGAUAAGUACAGCGGCGGACGGGUGAGUAACGCGUGAGAAUUUACCCUUUAGUGAAGAAUACCUCUGAGAAAUCAGAGUUAAUACUGCAUACGUCCCUACGGGGAGAAAGGUGGCCUCUUGCUGCCGCUAAAGGAUAAGCUUGCGUACUAUUAGCUAGUUGGUGAGGUAAAGGCUCACCAAGGCGAUGAUGGUUAGCCGGGCCUGAGAGGGUGUACGGCCACACUGGAACUUAGACACGGUCCAGACUCCUACGGGAGGCAGCAGUGAGGAAUAUUGCGCAAUGGGCGAAAGCCUGACGCAGCGACGCCGCGUGGAGGAUGAAGGUCUUCGGAUUGUAAACUCCUGUUAAGUGGGAAGAAAGACCUAUUUCUAAUACAGAUAGGGGAUGACGGUACCAUUAGAGAAAGCACCGGCUAACUUCGUG
rnacentral:rRNA from 1 species